GCCAAGUUUGGCUAGCGGAUAACGUCACUAUUUUAAAAGGAGUGGAUAUCGGUUCCGGUUCGAUUAUUGGCA
rnacentral:tRNA from 1 species